AUUGAACGCUGGCGGCAUGCCUUACACAUGCAAGUCGAACGGCAGCACGGGUGCUUGCACCUGGUGGCGAGUGGCGAACGGGUGAAUAAUACAUCGGAACAUGUCCUGUAGUGGGGGAUAGCCCGGCGAAAGCCGGAUUAAUACCGCAUACGAUCUACGGAUGAAAGCGGGGGACCUUCGGGCCUCGCGCUAUAGGGUUGGCCGAUGGCUGAUUAGCUAGUUGGUGGGGUAAAGGCCUACCAAGGCGACGAUCAGUAGCUGGUCUGAGAGGACGACCAGCCACACUGGGACUGAGACACGGCCCAGACUCCUACGGGAGGCAGCAGUGGGGAAUUUUGGACAAUGGGCGAAAGCCUGAUCCAGCAAUGCCGCGUGUGUGAAGAAGGCCUUCGGGUUGUAAAGCACUUUUGUCCGGAAAGAAAUCCUUGGCCCUAAUACGGUCGGGGGAUGACGGUACCGGAAGAAUAAGCACCGGCUAACUACGUG
rnacentral:rRNA from 1 species